UGGGUAACCUGCUCUUCACUGGGGGACAACCGAGGGGAACUUCGGCUAAUACCGCAUGAUGUGCAUCGGCUUAAGUCGGUGUACCAAAACUCCGGUGGUGAAGGAUGGGCCCGCGGCGGAUUAGCUUGUUGGUGGGGUAAAGGCCUACCAAGGCGACGAUCCGUAGCUGGUCUGAGAGGACGAUCAGCCACACUGGGACUGAGACACGGCCCAGACUCCUACGGGAGCAG
rnacentral:rRNA from 1 species